rnacentral:rRNA from 1 species
CCUACGGGAGGCAGCAGUGGGGAAUAUUGCACAAUGGGGGAAACCCUGAUGCAGCGACGCCGCGUGAGUGAAGAAGUAUUUCGGUAUGUAAAGCUCUAUCAGCAGGGAAGAAAAUGACGGUACCUGAUUAAGAAGCCCCGGCUAACUACGUGCCAGCAGCCGCGGUAAUACGUAGGGGGCAAGCGUUAUCCGGAUUUACUGGGUGUAAAGGGGGCGUAGACGGCAGCACAAGUCUGGAGUGAAAUGCCGGGGCUUAACCCCGGAACUGCUUUGGAAACUGUGCAGCUAGAGUGCAGGAGAGGUAAGUGGAAUUCCUAGUGUAGCGGUGAAAUGCGUAGAUAGUAGGAGGAACCCCAGUGGCGAAGGCGGCUUACUGGACUGUAACUGACGUUGAGGCUCGAAAGCGUGGGGAGCAAACAGGAUUAGAUACCCUUGUAGUC